rnacentral:lncRNA from 1 species
CACAGAGGGAAUGUGUUAGCACCCAAAGUGUCCUAGGUACUUCUAGGGAGCUCUUUUGGUGUGCAUAUGUAUUUUGUACAAAGUGAUGUUUACAAACAAAUAGAAUAGGGGGAUGAGAAAAGAAUUCAUUAAUUAUGUUUCUUGUGUUUGACAAGACCUUUGGUCUUGUGCCUACAUACCAACAUAAAAAUGAGGGAUCAAAACCUCGUAGUUCGUGG